rnacentral:rRNA from 1 species
AACGAACGCUGGCGGCAGGCCUAACACAUGCAAGUCGAGCGCCCCGCAAGGGGAGCGGCGGACGGGUGAGUAACACGUGGGAAUUUUCCUCAAGGUACGGAACAACUCAGGGAAACUUGGGCUAAUACCGUAUGAUGCAGAGAUGCAAAAGAUUUAUCGCCUUGGGAUAAGCCCGCGUCAGAUUAGGUAGUUGGUGGGGUAAUGGCCUACCAAGCCUGUGAUCUGUAGCUGGUCUGAGAGGACGAUCAGCCACAUUGGGACUGAGACACGGCCCAAACUCCUACGGGAGGCAGCAGUGGGGAAUCUUGCGCAAUGGACGAAAGUCUGACGCAGCCAUGCCGCGUGAAUGAUGAAGGUCUUAGGAUUGUAAAGUUUUUUAGCCUGUGACGAUGAUGACGGUAACAGGAGAAUAAGCCCCGGCUAACUUCGUGCCAGCCGCCGCGGUAA